CCGCUGGAUUCCUUCGUUACUAAGAAUAAAAUAAACGAAUCAAAAAACCGACUUCCCCGAUGCACUGACUAUACGUAGACAAAACCGGAAAUCACCCACUAAGUUUUCUAUACGAUCGGAGCGAGAGUUCCGGUUGAAAAAUCGUUUACGGACAGAAUGCAAAAAGCGUAUUGGGAUCUGAAUUCAAGUGUAGAUAGUGCUUAUGU